rnacentral:rRNA from 1 species
GUCGAACGCGAACGAGAAACUAAUUCGUUAGGCGUCUUUAGUAGAGUGGCGAACGGGUGAGUAACGCGUGAACAACAUACCUCUCAGAGGGGAAUAACACAGGGAAACCUGUGCUAAUACCGCAUACGUCAACUUAAUAAUUUUAUAUUGAUAAAAGGUGGGGACCUUCGGGCCUGCCACUGAGAGAUUGGUUCGCGUCCCAUUAGCUAGUUGGUAGGGUAACGGCCUACCAAGGCGACGAUGGGUAGCCGGCCUGAGAGGGCGACCGGCCACACUGGGAUUGAGAUACGGCCCAGACUCCUUCGGGAGGCAGCAGUCGAGAAUCUUCCACAAUGGGCGAAAGUCUGAUGGAGCGACGCCGCGUGAGGGAUUAAGGCUUUCUGAGUCGUAAACCUCUGUCGGGAGAGAUGAAUAGUCAUUGUAUUAAUAGUACAUAGACCUGACGUUAUCUCCAAAGGAAGCUCCGGCUAACCCGUGCCAGCAGCCGCGGUAAUACGGGGGGAGCAAGCGUUGUCCGGAAUCAUUGGGCGUAAAGGGCGUGUAGGUGGUUUUGUAAGUCGAAUGUGAAAUCUCACGGCUCAACCGUGAAACUGCGUUCGAAACUACGAGACUUGAGUUUGGGAGAGGUGUACGGAAUUCCUGGUGUAGCGGUGGAAUGCGUAGAUAUCAGGAAGAACACCAAUGGCGAAGGCAGUACACUGGCCU